GGACGAACGCUGGCGGCGUGCUUAACAUAUGCAAGUCAAGGGGGCUCGCAAGAGCAACCGGCGAACGGGUGCGUAACACGUGAGCGACCUGCCGACGAGAGGGGGAUAGCCGGCCCAACGGCCGGGUAAUACCGCAUACGCGUGGCUGCCUGAGUGGGCGGUCACGGAAACCUUUCGGGCUCGUCGAGGGGCUCGCGGCCUAUCAGCUAGUUGGCGGGGUAACGGCCCACCAAGGCGACGACGGGUAGCUGGUCUGAGAGGAUGGCCAGCCACAUUGGGACUGAGAAACGGCCCAGACUCCUACGGGAGGCAGCAGUGGGGAAUAUUGCGCAAUGGCCUAACGGCUGACGCAGCGACGCCGCGUGGAGGAUGACGCCUUUCGGGGUGUAAACUCCUGUUGCCCGGGACGAACCUCAGGUUUCGACCUGACUGACGGUACCGGGUGAGGAAGCACCGGCUAACUCCGUGCCAGCAGCCGCGGUAAUACGGAGGGUGCGAGCGUUGUCCGGAAUCACUGGGCGUAAAGGGCGCGUAGGUGGCGCGGUAAGCGGGUGGUGAAAGUCCGGGGCUCAACUCCGGAUCGGCCAUGCGAACUGCCGCGCUCGAGCGUAGUAGAGGCAGGUGGAAUUCCGGGUGUAGCGGUGGAAUGCGUAGAGAUCCGGAAGAACACCGGUGGCGAAGGUGGCCUGCUGGGCUACAGCUGACACUGAGGCGCGACAGCGUGGGGAGCAAACAGGAUUAGAUACCCUGGUAGUCCACGCCGUAAACGAUGGGCACUAGGUGCCUGGGGGAGCGACCCCCUGGGUGCCGGCGCUAACGCAUUAAGUGCCCCGCCUGGGGAGUACGGCCGCAAGGCUGAAAACUCAAU
rnacentral:rRNA from 1 species